rnacentral:lncRNA from 1 species
CAAGCAUUCGGAGGAUGGAUGAACAGUAAGAGUUCAGAGUGUUUCCCAUCACACUGAAGUUCAGCUUCUACCAGGGCUCUCAUUCUUUUGAAAAACACUUGACUGUGAUCAGUGAUACAAGAGCUGAAAACCACUUUAUGACCACCAUCGAAGGAAAGAGCCCCAUGGGGGAUAAUGUUUGCCAAACAUCGGCAGCAGGAAAGGCGAGUUUGCCCACCAAUGGAGCAGAUAGAUCCCUCUGGCAGAGUACCAGGUGACAAUGAAGAAGUCCUGGUGCUGAACCCAAGAGGACUUCAUGUGGACCAAGAGAACGUGGAUAACUGUGAUCCUGGGAGCCGUUGUGGCAGGUGCUUUGUGACAUCGAAUGAAGUCACUGGGCAACUACUGCUGACGGUAUGCCAACGCCCAUCAGCUCUAGACACUGAAGGAUGGACAAUGAAGUACUGUGAAUAAGGAGAGGGCUGAGGGCCCUUGGAAAGAAACUGACUGUGAUUUGGAAUAAUGGCUGGUGGUCCCCAUCUGAAGGCUUUAAGGGUGUAUUGCAUUUUCCAAAGUUAGCAACAAAUGGAAUCUCUGACCGACUGACCUUCUGAUCUUUGCAUGACCAGCUCUGAAUAUCCUCCUGUACAGAGGUAUAGGGCCGAUGUGCCACUCUGGGAAACAUCAUCCUUCCUGCCUCCUCGAAAUCACACAUGGCCAUGCGACUUGCUGUCAGCAACACAAUCCGAGGACAAACAAUAUGUGACAGGGUCUCAUUGCUGGGUUCCAUUCUUUGCCAGUACUUCUGGAAGAAGUGGAAAUGCUGUCUCUGCGGGUCAUGUUGGACAUGUGACAGGAGCAAAAAACAGCCUUUUGUUUUCAACCACUGAAAUUUGGGAGAUGUUUGUCACUACAGCAUAUUGUAUCCUGACUGAUACACACACACUGUUCCAGGUGCUGUGCCUGGCUCAGAGGAGGUUUUUGCUUAUGGACUGAACACUGUAGACUCCAGGGUCCUUGUCCUCUCCCUGUCCUAUCUCAUGGCCUUCCCAGCAAACUUAGAGAAGCUGCUCUCAAUUCAGGGCUUACCCGGUUUUACUUUUCCAGAAGCUCUCAGUGCCAGGAGACUAUGCUGCUGACCAGAUCUAGGGCAAGAUGGGCUCGCCCCAGUUCUGGGCCAGCCCCUGGGGGCAGUGGCCUUAAGCAUCAAGGCUAUCUGGGUUUAGAACAUUAUAGCUGAGCCCACCCUAAACAUGCUUGGUACAUUUACAUUAGCCUACAGUUGGGUAAAACCAUCUUAUACAGCGCUUAUCGAUAAUCAAGUGUUGACUGUCUCAUAUAAUUUAUUAAUUACAUAUGAUAAAGUGUUGGCUGCCUCAAUCAGUUAUUGAUUCUUCACUGACAGUGAAGAACAGAAUGGUUGUGAGGGUGUCAGCUGCUUAUCCUUCCAAUUGUCAGCUGCCACUGCCACCGCCCAGCAUCACAAGAGAGCAACAUAUUGUGGAUCGCUAACUCAGAAAAAGUUCAAGAUUCAAAAUUCAAACCAUGGUUUCUACCAAAUAUGUGUUGCUUUAGCCCCACUAUAAAAUAAAAAAAAUCAUUAAGUUGAGUCAGGCCCCUUCUGUAUUUAUUUCUCACGGUUCUGGAUACCCAAAGUCCAAGAUGAAGACACCAGCAGAUUCAGUGUCUAAUGAGAACUCUUUUCUUGGUUCAUAGUCAGGUGUCUUCACUGUGCCCUCACACAGUGGGAGGGAUGAGGGAGCUCUCUGGGGUUUCCUUUCUAGGGGAACUAAUCCCCACAUACCAGGCUUCCACCUUCAUGACCUACUCACCUCCCAAAGGCCCCACUUUCUAAUACCUUCACACUGGGGCUUAGGAUUUUGACAUAUGAAUUUAGGGGAAGACACAAACAUUCAGACCACAGCAUAAUGUCUUCCCCUUGCAGGGUUAUCAUUAAGGGGAUCAAAUGCCCACGGGAGGGUCUCUGCCCGGGCCAACAGCACAGGUAGCACCAUUCAAUGCCCGCCACUGUUCCUGAUCAUGUGCUCUUACACAUGGCACACACCAUUACAUCCAAAAGGAGAGGUGAAGGUCCCAGCAGGCAGUCCAUUACCUCCCUCACCUCCCCAGACCCGUGCCCUGUCUCACUCAGGCCAGCUUGGAGGGGCCACACCCUCACCCCAAGGGACCUUCCUAUGCAGGUGGGCAACACACUCAAAUAACUCUUCCUAUCUGAAAUGAUUGGCAGAUGAGUGAUUUAGUGAAGAGAGCAUAACUUUGUAGGCCAAAAGACAUGUCUUUCAUCGUCCAAGGUCAGGCUUGGGACUUAUUACAGCACUUCCCUCAAAAGGUCACCUGGAGGCAUCAGUAGGACCAUCGAAACUCUAUGCUGCCAGGUGCUCAGGCCAAAAUCUUGGAGGCAACUCAUCCUCCUUCUUUCUUUCAUAGUCAUAUCCACUAAUCCA